rnacentral:rRNA from 1 species
GAUGAACGCUGGCGGCGUGCCUAAUACAUGCAAGUCGAGCGAACGGACGAGAAGCUUGCUUCUCUGAUGUUAGCGGCGGACGGGUGAGUAACACGUGGAUAACCUACCUAUAAGACUGGGAUAACUUCGGGAAACCGGAGCUAAUACCGGAUAAUAUUUUGAACCGCAUGGUUCAAAAGUGAAAGACGGUCUUGCUGUCACUUAUAGAUGGAUCCGCGCUGCAUUAGCUAGUUGGUAAGGUAACGGCUUACCAAGGCAACGAUGCAUAGCCGACCUGAGAGGGUGAUCGGCAACACUGGAACUGAGACACGGUCCAGACUCCUACGGGAGGAAGCAGUAGGGAAUCUUCUGCAAUGGGCGAAAGCCUGACGGAGCAACGCCGCUGGAGUGAUGAAGGUGUUCGGAUCGUAAAACUCUGUUAUUAGGGAAGAACAUAUGUGUAAGUAACUGUGCAUAUCUUGACGGUACCUAAUCAGAAAGCCACGGCUAACUACGUG